rnacentral:rRNA from 1 species
UACGUAGGGGGCAAGCGUUGUCCGGAAUCAUUGGGCGUAAAGCGCGUGUAGGCGGUUCGGUAAGUCGGCUGUGAAAGUCCAGGGCUCAACCCUGGGAUGCCGGUCGAUACUGCCGGACUAGAGUACGGAAGAGGCGAGUGGAAUUCCUGGUGUAGCGGUGAAAUGCGCAGAUAUCAGGAGGAACACCGAUUGCGAAGGCAGCUCGCUGGGACGUUACUGACGCUGAGACGCGAAAGCGUGGGGAGCAAACAGG